rnacentral:rRNA from 1 species
AUUGAACGCUGGCGGAAUGCUUUACACAUGCAAGUCGAGCGGCAGCGCGGGGCAACCUGGCGGCGAGCGGCGAACGGGUGAGUAAUGUAUCGGAACGUACCCAGUCGUGGGGGAUAACUAUCCGAAAGGAUAGCUAAUACCGCAUACGUCCUGAGGGAGAAAGCGGGGGAGUCGCAAGACCUCGCGCGAUUGGAGCGGCCGAUAUCGGAUUAGCUAGUUGGUGAGGUAAAGGCUCACCAAGGCGACGAUCCGUAGCUGGUCUGAGAGGACGACCAGCCACACUGGAACUGAGACACGGUCCAGACUCCUACGGGAGGCAGCAGUGGGGAAUUUUGGACAAUGGGGGCAACCCUGAUCCAGCCAUUCCGCGUGAGUGAAGAAGGCCU